GACGAACGCUGGCGGCGUGCCUAAUACAUGCAAGUCGAACGCUGAAGGAGGAGCUUGCUUCUCUGGAUGAGUUGCGAACGGGUGAGUAACGCGUAGGUAACCUGCCUGGUAGCGGGGGAUAACUAUUGGAAACGAUAGCUAAUACCGCAUAAUAGUAGAUGUUGCAUGACAUUUACUUAAAAGGUGCAAUUGCAUCACUACCAGAUGGACCUGCGUUGUAUUAGCUAGUUGGUGGGGUAACGGCUCACCAAGGCGACGAUACAUAGCCGACCUGAGAGGGUGAUCGGCCACACUGGGACUGAGACACGGCCCAGACUCCUACGGGAGGCAGCAGUAGGGAAUCUUCGGCAAUGGACGAAAGUCUGACCGAGCAACGCCGCGUGAGUGAAGAAGGUUUUCGGAUCGUAAAGCUCUGUUGUAAGAGAAGAACGAGUGUGAGAGUGGAAAGUUCACACUGUGACGGUAUCUUACCAGAAAGGGACGGCUAACUACGUG
rnacentral:rRNA from 1 species